AGCAUAGCAACAGCAGCGUAGCUGAACAUCUUACGGAUGGCCCAGGGCUCCAAAGGCUCGUUUCCUAAGUGAGAGAGAGCCUGGCUGAAGCUGUAUUACCAUUCAUUCUCCAGCCUCCGAAGUCUCAAAGCAUCACUUCCACCAUACUCUAACUGUCAAGACAAACACAAAGGCCCAGAGAAGGGGUCUCACUAUGUUGUCUGGAGUGCUGUGGUGGAGUGGAGUGGCUAUUCACAGAGCCUGUUCUGCUGGGACACAGAAUCACUUGCUCCAUCUCAUACAUUGAUGAUGAUUAAUUUGUAUGUGUACCUUCCAAAAAAGAUGGUUGUGUUUGAAUGGAGGCCUUCUGGACAGGAAAAUAUGGAGAGUGCGUGCUUUGGAUUCAAGACUGGGAAUGAGGGGACCAGAAACCUAUUCUGUGGCUGUUUCUUGUUAGGACUUUCCUAAGCCUCUGGAAAAGGUUCAAUCCUGCUGAUGCUCUCCAUGGAGAUGGUCAGCAAGUGCAAAGUACAAUUAACAUUUGAGUCUGUCUGAGUCAUGAAGAAAUGGAGAUUACUGAAAAUAAUUCAUUUUGGUAUCUUCUUACAUCCUGAGAGACUAAUCUUUCCAAGUUCAUCUGAGGCUCCUCUUCUCCAUGACAACCUCAUCCAGGGAUUUCUUCCUGUCCUGGUGUUUUAUGACAUGUGGAAGGGGACUGUAGCAGGUGAUCUCCAAAGUCUCUGGAGACUUACUAAUGUGCAUCCUCAUCUCGCUUGUAAGGAUAAUAGCCUUCCUCCAAACCUCACACACUUUUGGAGGAGAUCACUUUUUUUAAAGUGCAUGGAAAUGUUUUGAAACAGUGAAAUCUAUAAUGAUAGGUUUCAUAAUUCUAACAUCCACACCAUAUGAAUCACAUCCUUCCUGAGAUAAUGAGCACACAAUUGCCUGGAUACCUGAAGGAAUGGAGACAGCGGCAGAAAACACUGCAGAGAGGUGGAAACAUCCGUUAAUAUUUUAAAAUCCCAUUACUGCUACCAACAAUAAUAAUGGAUGCAUAGAAAUAGAUCUGGAUUAGCUGAGCUUGAAACAGUCCAUCUCACACACACACAAAAGAAUUUCAGAUACAGUGAACCCACAUGUUGAAGCUUUCUAGUAUAAUAAAAAUUUCAACUGUUCUGUUGAAUCAUCUGCCUGAUUGGAGGCUACAGAAAAGAUGUCAUCUUAGGAGUGCUUGCUCUGAGUGAGGCUCAUCUUCAAAUCUGAAUGACCACAAGGAGAUUUGAUUAUACAUGUGAACACCUCAGAAGGCACAGCCCACCCAGAAGGCAGACAGGUCAGGCUGCUUUUUCUUCAUUGCUUGGAUUCAAUCCUCCGGGCGGCUCAGGCUCAAACAUAACUUAAGCAUGAUUAAACUUUAGAAGAAGCUGCCAGGAAGACUGUGAAAUCUUCAUGCCCAAGGAUCCCUAAAAUUAGGAGCAACAACCACUUGGCUCAGACGGUUUAUGGAGGCAAAGGUUUGGAUGGGAUUAGAGAUUUCUAAAUGAGGAGACAGACACUAGAGCUCACCGGCUCGCCCUCUCACUCCUACUCAUCUGAGAAGGCAGCCAGCUAACCCUUCAGCCAGGAAGAGGGUCCUCAUCAGAACCUGGCCGUGGUGGCAUCCAGAUCUUGAACCUCCGGACUCCAGACUGUGAGAAAAUAAGUGUGUUGUUUAAA
rnacentral:lncRNA from 1 species